CCUACGGGAGGCAGCAGUGAGGAAUAUUGGUCAAUGGACGAGAGUCUGAACCAGCCAAGUAGCGUGAAGGAUGACUGCCCUAUGGGUUGUAAACUUCUUUUAUAUGGGAAUAAAAUGUUCCACGUGUGGGAUUUUGUACGUACCAUAAGAAUAAGGAUCGGCUAACUCCGUGCCAGCAGCCGCGGUAAUACGGAGGAUCCGAGCGUUAUCCGGAUUUAUUGGGUGUAAAGGGAGCGUAGGUGGAUUGUUAAGUCAGUUGUGAAAGUUUGGGGCUCAACCGUAAAAUUGCAGUUGAAACUGGCAGUCUGGAGUGCAGGAGAGGUGAGCGGAAUUCGUGGUGUAGCGGUGAAAUGCUUAGAUAUCACGAAGAACUCCGAUUGCGAAGGCAGUUCACUGGACUGCAACUGACGCUGAGGCUCGAAAGUGUGGGUAUCAAACAGGAUUAGAUACCCCGGUAGUC
rnacentral:rRNA from 1 species